UUAGCGUGGUAUGGGCAUUUAAUGAGGAGGGAUGAAUGCCAUAUAGGAAAAAGCAUGUUAGGAAUGAAUGUUGAUGGACGGAGAGCGGAUGGUAGACCCAAAAAACGAUGGAUGGAUUGUGUGAAAGAGGAUAUGAGAAAGAAAGGAGUGAGUGCUGAGGUGACGAAAGAUAGAGGAGAAUGGAAGAGAAGAACAUGUUGUGCCGACCCCACAUAACGUGGGAUAAGGGCAGGAGGAAGAAGAAGAUAGAUAAAUCAUUUAUUUGGCAGCUGCAAAAACACACAAUAUAAAGUUUAAAUCAUCAUAA